rnacentral:lncRNA from 1 species
CAUAAACUGCUUUGACUUUUGAAAAUUGUUCAAUUUAUUCUGGAGACAUUACAUUCUAAAUAAGGCCUGGGGAUAUAUGGAAUUAGCCAUGCCCCUUAGCUAUGCAAAGAAGGCUAUAAAGAAAAUAGAUUUUAUAUAAGAAAGGAUGUUGUAUGGUAAAUUCUUGUCCUAAAGUAAAAUGACUGGUUGUUUAAAAAGAAGGACGUUUAGGGCAAGUCACUCAGAAAGUCUAAACAUGUCUCACAUAGUCUGUGUAAGUCAUGAAAGAAUUUAUGAAAAUAAAUUUAUGCCAGAAAUGUAUAAUUUAAAGGUGAUUAGGGCUGGGGGCAGUGGCUCACUCCUGUAAUCCCAACACUUUGGGAGGCUGAGGUGGGUGGAUCACGAGGUCAGGAGUUUGAAACCAGCCUGACCAACAUGGUGAAACCCGUCUCUACUGAAAAUAUAAAAAUUAGCCAGGCGUGAGGGCGCACACCUGUAAUCCCAGAUACUCAGGAGGCUGAGGCAGGAGAAUCACUUGAACCCAGGAGGUGGAGGUUGCAGUGAGCCGAGAUGGCACCACUGCACUCCAGCCUGGGCAAAGGAGUGAGACUUUAUCUCAAAAAAAAAAAAAAAUAAAUAAAUAAAUAAAUAAAUAAAUAAAUAAAUAAAGGUGAAUAGGCCUCCUAAAUGAUUUAUAACAUGCCACUAUGACUGUACAGCUUGCCUAUUUUACGGCUAGGUAAGGCCUGGGACAUGUGGAGUUAGAUGAUGGAAAGAGUCAGACCUUAUGUGCAUUUCUGUCUGGGUCCUAGGCUCCCCAUCUAGUACAUAAUUAAAAUCCCUUACUUACCAAGAUUUUCACCAAAAGUAAAAGUCUCUAAGAGUUAACAUUGUAAUAUGCAAUUGAGACUACUGAAAAAAUGAGUUUACAUACAAGGUGUGUAAGGAGAAUAAAAAGUAUUUUUGUAAGAGAUUAUAAGAAGGUAAGGGAAUGUAAAUUUUUGCCUAGGUUAGAGGGUUAAAGCAUUGUUUUAAAUUAAAUAAAGCUAAAUGUUUGAACAAGUUGUGGAAGGUUUAUAAAAAAUUAAUUGUAAAAAAUUCUAUGUGUGGACAUAUUGGCUAAAGUUAAAAUGGCAUUUUUCAGUUUUUUUCCAUAAAUUGAACAUUGGAAUAAAAGCACAACAGAGUUUUCUUAGAACAUUGUUCUGGUCUGAAAAAAAAAAUGUAAAGGGUUAUAAAAUGUUUAUAAAAAUCUUACCUUAUGGUCAAACUAAUUAAACUUAAUAGACUUAUAAAAUGUUAUUAAAAAACUAGCUUUAUCAUUAAAAAUACACCAAUGGAAACAUAAAAUUUGGUUUUCUCUUUUAAAAAUAAUUUUUAUGUAAUAUUAAAAGAUAAUGAAAGGUUUUUGUUUACCUUUUAAGUAAACUACAAGAGAAAAAGGGGGGAAGGGAAAGAAAGGAGACAGAGUCAGUUGGCUUCAUGCUAUCUCCACUGGGUCUUAUUUAGAAAGCUGUGUCUCCUCUCCAUCAGAAUAGUAUUUUUUCCUUUAAAAAUUUUUUGAGUUAUCAUUUUGGCUAAAUGAACGACUUAUGGUAACCUAAAAUUCUAUUUUGUAAUAUCCAAAGUUUUAAACCUUUGCUAUUUAACAGACCUUUCAAAAUCAAGCUUUAGAUUAUCAUGCUAAAUCAGCCAAUACUAACAUUGUUUAAAUAUACAAUUUGAAUGAACUCCAUGGUCUAAGUCAAAUUACCUCUGAUAACUUAUUAGUUAUCAGUGCUAUGCACCUAAAUUGGAGAAACAACUGGUAUUCAAGAGGACAUAAGUCCAGUGUUAAGCAUGGACUCGUGAAGAACCAAGACAGCCGCCUUGUCCUUCCUGAGUGCUUAAAGCUUUUGUUAUUAAAGGUUCUGCAUUCCAUGACUCGUCAUGAAAAAGAUAAAAUAAUCCAAAUUGAAUACAUUGAUGUGGUGACUUAUAAAUUGCAGUAAUAGUUUAAAACCAAUGUUUGGUUACAUAUUCCUGGGAAGACAAUCAAAGGUUCAGGUACGUUUGGCUACUUGAUGGUCCAUUUAAACAUUUAUAAAGGAAUUUCAUUCAAUUGUCAUUUUCAAUGCAUGUUUUCUGGGGGUAUAAAAGCUUUCCCAUGCAAGAGGGCUGAUGUUAUAACAGUAAAUUAUUAUGCUACAGUAUAUUUCACCAGGUAAAGAGAGUUUUUAUGGUUCACUGAGGAUAAUCCCUUCACAAUCUGGAGCCCAAAGAUUGGAUCUUCUGAGAACAUGAGAAAAAGUUUGUCCUUGCCAUCCACACUACAGCAAAACUUUGGAGCCUUGAACCUUGGGUUCGUAAUCGCACAACUGACAAGGGCCCCUCCACACUCCUGGAACUGUACACCCAUUGGAACCCUUAAGGUAAAAGUAACCAGGAAAGUUUCUCCCCAGAAGAAGAUGGCAUCUUUUAUGUGAACAGCUUUUUCCAAGAUCACUGAUCAAGACUUCUACUAUCACAGACUCUUAUCUUUGAAUAUUUUUCCUUGUUAUGCCUCUAUGAACAAUAGAAAUGAAAAAGGGGUCUAUUAUGUGCACUUAUAGGGUAUACUUUAUUUGUGAAGGAUUUUGCAGCCAUGAAUAACCAUAUGCUUUAAUAGGUAAAAGAUGAAGGCCCAGUGUAGGUGAGAAACUUUGAUGGUACAUAUAUUGCCUCAUAAUCAGUCAAAACUCCUCAUGAAUUAAAGAGAACAUUGCCAGGAGGCCUUCAGUCCUGUAGAAGGAUAUCAUUUGUUAGGUCCUUUUUCCAUGGUUUAGAAUAAAAUAGGCAAUAAUUAGAAAUGUCACCCUCACAAUAGGCUCUACAGCAAAUUCUACUUUAAAGGCUAUCCUUACACAACAGACUUUAAAUUCUCUUGUGAAAGUUAUGCUAAAUAAUAGAAUUGGCUAAGCAGAAAAGUACCUGUGCAGCUACUGACACUUCUGGCCUAUGGAGAAAUACAUCAAAUGUAGAUUACAAAAAUUCAGUUGUAGGGGAUUAAUGAAAAGACCACUUGGUCAAGCGAGUAGACUCUUCAUCUAGCUCAUUCUUUAAUCUAUUUUAUUUGAUGUGGUUUGGUUUAUGGGGACCCUGGGUAAGGAGCAUACUCCAAACCGUUGGUAUUAUCCUCCCAAUAGUCAUAAUCAUAGUCUUUCUGGUGCUCUGUAUUCUUUCAAAGAUUUUCACUGUUCACAUGCAACCAUCUCUACAAUGUCAAAUGGUCUCUUUUCAACUGGAAUGACAAAAGCUGAAAGAAAUGUGUGACCAUGAGGACACUGUAACCUAUAAAUGAUGUACUGAGACCGGAAACCCAAAAUAUGGUAAAUGAGAGUGGCACUAAAGCCCUAAGUUUGGGUCACACUCUCACCUAGUGAGAACCUGGCCAAAAAGGGGGAAUUUUUAAAAAACAAAAUUAUGGGAAGCCGUUAUUUUGGACUUGAGCUCAUGCACUAGGCUCCAAAAAACCAAACCAGGAUAAAAUGGAGUCACUUGUGCUAAAUGUGACAUAAUCAAAUUAAGGCUUUGAGAAAGCACAUAGAUCCUAGAACAGACCAGGUUUUGUUUUUCUCCUGUAAACAGGAUGUUCCAGCAUACGGAAGCACCCUCUAUUCAGUCCUUAUUCCUUCCUUGCAAAACCCACUGUUCUAAUGUUUCCCAGUGGGUUUCAAAACCAUAUAAGUACAUUUAUGAUAGCGAUAGUAGCAUCAAUAACUAAGAUUUUGGUCAAUCUCUUAAAAUUGAGAAAAUGACCAAAAGAGGGAACUUGUUAAGGCAAACUAAAUAUGGCCUAAGAAGGACUCUGCUUCUGUAUUUGAGUCCUUGUGGAUGAACUGUGACCUAGCUUAAUAGUAAGUCAAAAUUGAAAACCUAACUUAAUAGUAUGCACCUGUAACAAUGACUAAGUGUUGGCCAAUCCCUGCGGUCAUACUUCAACCACUCGUAGACUGCUGAACAUUCAAACUGCAUUCAAAUAAGGCAAACACCAAGCUGUAACCAAUCACACUGUUUCUGUACUUCACUUCCAAUUCCUGUACAUCACUUUCCCCUUUCUGUCUAUAAAUUUGUUGUGACCACAAGGCAUCCCUGGAGUCUUGGUGAAUCUGCUGUGGUUCUGGGGGCUGCCCAAUUCAUGAAUUGUUCAUUGCUCAAUUAAACUCUUUUAAAUCUGGCUGAAGCUUUUCUUUUAUCACCCUGGACUACUGCUUAGUAUUCCAUAGAAUGCAUCCAGCCCAUUUUACUAUUCAUCUCCUAGAAAUGGCUUCCUAAGUUGUCUACAGCUCUCCUUCUCUCU